rnacentral:rRNA from 1 species
CACGUAGGGGGCAAGCGUUGUCCGGAAUUAUUGGGCGUAAAGAGCUCGUAGGCGGUCUGUCGCGUCGGCUGUGAAAACCCGAGGCUCAACCUCGGGCCUGCAGUCGAUACGGGCAAACUAGAGUACUGCAGGGGAGACUGGAAUUCCUGGUGUAGCAGUGAAAUGCGUAGAUAUCAGGAGGAACACCGAUGGCGAAGGCAGGUCUCUGGGCUGAAACUGACGCUCAAGCACGAAAGCGUGGGGAGCAAACAGG